rnacentral:rRNA from 1 species
AUAGCCUUUCGAAAGAAAGAUUAAUACCGGAUGGUAUAGUUUUCCCGCAUGGGAUGAUUAUUAAAGAAUUUCGGUUGUCGAUGGGGAUGCGUUCCAUUAGGCAGUUGGCGGGGUAACGGCCCACCAAACNUACGAUGGAUAGGGGUUCUGAGAGGAAGGUCCCCCACAUUGGAACUGAGACACGGUCCAAACUCCUACGGGAGGCAGCAGUGAGGAAUAUUGGUCAAUGGACGAGAGUCUGAACCAGCCAAGUAGCGUGAAGGAUGACUGCCCUAUGGGUUGUAAACUUCUUUUAUACGGGAAUAAAGUGAGCCACGUGUGGCUUUUUGUAUGUACCGUAUGAAUAAGGAUCGGCUAACUCCGUGCCAGCAGCCGCGGUAAUACGGAGGAUCCGAGCGUUAUCCGGAUUUAUUGGGUUUAAAGGGAGCGUAGGCGGGUUGUUAAGUCAGUUGUGAAAGUUUGCGGCUCAACCGUAAAAUUGCAGUUGAUACUGGCGACCUUGAGUGCAACAGAGGUAGGCGGAAUUCGUGGUGUAGCGGUGAAAUGCUUAGAUAUCACGAAGAACUCCGAUUGCG